rnacentral:rRNA from 1 species
CCUACGGGGGGCAGCAGUGGGGAAUAUUGGACAAUGGGGGCAACCCCGAUCCAGCCAUGCCGCGUGUGUGAAGAAGGCCCUCGGGUUGUAAAGCACUUUCAGUGAGGAAGAACGCCUGGUGGUUAAUACCCAUCAGGAAAGACAUCACUCACAGAAGAAGCACCGGCUAACUCCGUGCCAGCAGCCGCGGUAAUACGGAGGGUGCGAGCGUUAAUCGGAAUUACUGGGCGUAAAGCGCGCGUAGGUGGCUUGAUAAGCCGGUUGUGAAAGCCCCGGGCUCAACCUGGGAACGGCAUCCGGAACUGUCAAGCUAGAGUGCAGGAGAGGAAGGUAGAAUUCCCGGUGUAGCGGUGAAAUGCGUAGAGAUCGGGAGGAAUACCAGUGGCGAAGGCGGCCUUCUGGACUGACACUGACACUGAGGUGCGAAAGCGUGGGUAGCAAACAGGAUUAGAUACCCUAGUAGUC